GCCUCUAUGGCGCAGUGGUAACGCGUUGCACUUGUAUUUUGCAAGACCAUGCAAAGAUCCCUCGUUCGAACCGGGGUGGAGGCA
rnacentral:tRNA from 1 species